UUGGAAACAACCUCUUUAUCCUCACAAGGUAGGAGUGAAGUCUGCGUAUACACUAUCCUCCCAACACCCACAGUGUGGAAUAUUACUGGGUAUGUUAGUUGUUGUGACAAGAGGGGUUGCUCUGAUGGUAAGCAACCUCCACUUCCUACCGAUAGGUUGUGAGUUCGAGUUUCCCCAAGAGCAAGGUGAGAAGUUCUUGGAGGGAAGGAUACCGGGGCUCUAUUUGGAAACAGCCUCUACCCAAGGGUAGGGGUAAGGUUUGCGUACAUACUACCCUCCCCAAACCCCACUACGUGGGAUUAUACUGGGUUGUUGUUGUUCCAUAGUAAUGGCAUGGAAUGUUAUGCUAUAAUACUGAUCUGAGAACAUUUCUUCCAACAAAAGUGAUUGUAAUUAAAGGAAGGAAAGUACAAAGGGAAUAGAGAUGAAAAAGAAAAGGAAUGCCUACAUAUUCUGGCCAUUGGUUAUCUCAAUCUCACUGUGGGGACUCUAAUAGUCGUCACCAAAAAUAUGUGCUAUAUAUACCUAAAAUUUAUUUCAUGGCACAUUUGUUUACUUUUUGUGGUGAUCAUGGUUUCCACAAAAGCUAAUAAUAAAACGUUGAUAAUAAUCGAACAGGAGCGGAAACACAUCCACAUUGGACGAAGCCUUGGUGGAAAUAUUCAAAAGAAUUUCAUAUGUAAAAAAAAUUGGAUUAGCAAAUAUUUUCUAAUGAAAAAAGUUAUACUUUAAAGAAUAAUCAAUUCAUUUCAUGUUUAUUACUGUCAGAACAUUACAUGAAAUAAAGUUUCUGGUGAUGAAAAUAUUGUGCUAUAUGUCGCCAUUAUAAUAACAACAACAAUAACAACUACCCAGUAUAUUCCCAUCAGGUGUGAGUCUGGGGAGGGUAAUAUGUAGACAAGCCUUACCCCUACCCGAAAGGGUAGGGAGGCUGUUUCCAAUCGACCCUCGGCGCAUAGGACAAAAGGAAAAAUAGCUGUAAAACAAAACAAAAACAAAAACAAAAAGCAUUAGUGACUCCCGCAGAAAAUAGUGAAAAUAAUUAACUAAAAAUAAGAAACAUAAAUACAAUCGCAAGCAAUAAAAUCGUACAGUAACUACCAUAACUAACAGCCACAGGAGGGCACACGCUAACACACAAAUCAUCUAUGANNN
rnacentral:lncRNA from 1 species